rnacentral:rRNA from 1 species
GAUGAACGCUGGCGGCGUGCCUAAUACAUGCAAGUCGAGCGAACAGAUAAGGAGCUUGCUCCUUUGACGUUAGCGGCGGACGGGUGAGUAACACGUGGGUAACCUACCUAUAAGACUGGAAUAACUCCGGGAAACCGGGGCUAAUGCCGGAUAACAUGUUGAACCGCAUGGUUCUACAGUGAAAGGCGGCUUUGCUGUCACUUAUAGAUGGACCCGCGCCGUAUUAGCUAGUUGGUGAGGUAACGGCUCACCAAGGCAACGAUACGUAGCCGACCUGAGAGGGUGAUCGGCCACACUGGAAGUGAGACACGGUCCAGACUCCUACGGGAGGCAGCAGCAGGGAAUCUUCCGCAAUGGGCGAAAGCCUGACGGAGCAACGCCGCGUGAGUGAUGAAGGUCUUCGGAUCGUAAAACUCUGUUAUUAGGGAAGAACAAAUGCGUAAGUAACUGUGCGCGUCUUGACGGUACCUAAUCAGAAAGCCACGGCUAACUACGUG